UGUGUGUGUGUGACUGUCUGUGUGAUAGUGUGUGUGACUGCAUGCCUGUGUGUGUGUGACUGUCUGUCUGUGUGACUGCCUGCCUGUGUGUGUCUGCUUGCCUGUGUGUGUGUCUGUCUGUCUGUCUGUCAGUGUGACUGCGUGCCUGUGUGUGUGACUUUAUUUGUGUGACUGUUUGCCUGUGUGUGUGUGUCUGCCUGCCUGUGUGUGUUUGUGUGGCUGUAUGUCUGUGUG